rnacentral:rRNA from 1 species
UGGGGAAUAUUGCACAAUGGGGGAAACCCUGAUGCAGCGACGCCGCGUGAGCGAAGAAGGUUUUCGAAUCGUAAAGCUCUGUCCUAUGAGAAGAUAAUGACGGUAUCAUAGGAGGAAGCCCCGGCUAAAUACGUGCCAGCAGCCGCGGUAAUACGUAUGGGGCGAGCGUUGUCCGGAAUUAUUGGGCGUAAAGGGUACGUAGGCGGCCUUUUAAGUCAGGUGUGAAAGCGUGAGGCUUAACCUCAUUAAGCACUUGAAACUGGAAGGCUUGAGUGAAGGAGAGGAAAGUGGAAUUCCUAGUGUAGCGGUGAAAUGCGUAGAUAUUAGGAGGAAUACCGGUGGCGAAGGCGACUUUCUGGACUUUUACUGACGCUCAGGUACGAAAGCGUGGGGAGCAAACAGGAUUAGAUACCCUGGUAGUCCGCGCCGUAAACGAUGAAUGCUAGGUGUUGGGAGUCAAAUCUCGGUGCCGAAGUUAACACAUUAAGCAUUCCGCCUGGGGAGUACGGUGGCAACACUG